AGUAGAGAGGAGCAGGGACCGAGACACUAGAGACCUGGGCCAUGUUUCUGCCUCAGGCACACGCUCGCUGGGGAUCGUGGGCACAUCUCUCCAGCUCUUCUACAUCUCCUCCCCCAGGCUGUAGGCUGGGAACAGAGCAGAAGUCUUUCACCGGGCAGGCUGUAAAGGACUUCAGCUGUGGGGUUUUGAUCUCAGCUGCAGCCCUGUGCACUAAUGUGAGCCACACAGUUAGUAGAGGGAAAUGGAAGCUUUGCUGUUUGUAAAGGAGCACCAGCGAGAGCAUCUUCUUUCUUGAUGUCUAUAAAUCCCUGGGCUCCUCCAAUCAUGCUAAUCCAUCUUUUUUCAAUUAGCCAUUCUCGUGGAGGCCAAUGGAGGCAGGCUUAUGUCUGUGUUUAACUAGGGAACCGUGCAUGGCAGGAGAGCUGUGAGAGGAUAAGGGUUACAACUUGCCUUCCUCAACAGCCAAGGGUGGAUGAGGGAUCUGGAGCAUCAGUGAACUGCACUCAGAGUGUGGGAGGCACAAGAGGGAUCUGUCCUUCCAGGCAUGUCAGGGGAGAAGAGGUAGUAAUCAAACUGGAUCCGAGCUUUACACCUCACCCAGAGCUCCUCAAAUGGACAAACCAGCUCCUGGGUCUGCAAUACCCAUGCCUACUUCUUCCACCUCCCUCCUGGAGACAAGCAGAGACACGGCCUCAGAUGACUGUGCCUAUUGCAAUUGCUUUCCUGACAUUUGCCAUGUUUCCAGUUGUAGAGCAUUUGCUGUUUAAUGAUAAUGCCUAGAAAAAAACAAACAAACACCCUUCUAAUUGCAAUCACAUUCCUCGCCUCUCCCCUCCCACCAGGUUGUUAAAUGUUUGCUGCAUUGAUCUCAACAGCUGAGCACGAAACAGUGAGCUGUAGUUGAGACCUCCUGCGAGCUCGAUAAACUUAAUGGACAUCCUCGAGAACUUUAACUGGGAAGAUUUAGCUCCCGAGGAAGAAGGAAGCAAACACCCGGAGCAGCUUUGUCUGCCUGUUGUACCUCAUUUUGCCAGAAACAGCUGCUCACGCUGGGAUUAGCUCAGAGGCUUGUACCGAGCAGAGGCUGACUCACAAGAACAAAAUCAGGAGAUCAUUACAUCUCCGUGCAGGCUCCAAGUGCUUCGGGCUGCACGGGGAGAGAGGAAAAUUAAGCGGAGUCAGAGCCCAAUUUGCAGAAAUGCUGUGAAACUUUUGUGUGUGACAGAUGAGUGGGAGAAGGGAGAGCCUCAGCUCUGCAGGAUGAGUGCUGCAGGUCUUGGGAUGGAGCUCCAGGCUGCAGGAGAUAGAUGGUGGCUGAGAGCACAGAGGUAGCUUGUCAUAACAUCUGUCUCGCUGUUGUGCCUUCCCUUAAUAGAGACAGUUUGAUUAGGGUUCAUACAAGACAGACAAAUGAGAAUUGAUUAUUUUACAAAGACCCUAAUUGCUCAGAAAUUUGACAUUCCUGCAGCGUGGCAUUGCUGCUCUGGGUAGCUAUCUCCGUGUCCUAUCCAUGGAGGUGGCAGAGUCUUCACCCUCAUGUACGCUUCCCUUCUAAAGGCUAGGACUUCCUCCCCCCUUCAGCCCUGUAACAUAAUAAACACUGACCCGAAAUGAUCACUAAGCCCAUUCCUCCAUGGCGUCAUGAGUCAUGGAUCAAUACCCAAACUACAAAGCACCAAGGACCAUAAGAAAUCCUCACUAAGGUCCAGACCUAGACUUGCUGCAUCGGGGUGUGGAUCCACUCAGCCUGUCCGAAGAUGGUAUUAAUAAGCCAUCCAAAAAUACCUGGUGCCUUUUGCUAGAGUGUGACCGCAACAGAUUGGAGACAGCUUGAAAUGCAGACACCUGCAAGGUGCCUUGCUCACAACGCUGAUGUGUGGGACAGCCAAGUGAUGGACACGGAGCUCAGCUGAAAUGGCAGGAGCGGGUUCAGCAGUGCACAGUGACAUUGCAUGUUGGUGUGCUGUAAUUAAUGCUGAUAAAGUGCACUAUAUCCUUCAAAAUUGGCUGAUGACCUGUGUUUAACCACUCAGCCUCACCAGUUGUGGUUUACAGGAAUGGUACAUACAUGCUGGCACUCUCUCUUUCUUCUCCAGUGGGGAGAGGGAUGAAAGUUCGUGUUUCCCCUUUGUUAGGUCACAAAGUGUUAUUUUGGGCACCUUCCAGAACCAAUUCAUUACUUGUCAUCUUGCAGAGUGAGGGUAACGUAAGGCUCUGCCACGUGCUGUAUUGAUCCCUCGACUUGAUUAGUUGGUGUAUCGAAUACCCUUGCUUUUCUAAUCUAAUUAAUGCAAGAUAAAUACUCUGUGCUGGGGCCCGGAGUCACGUUCUAAGGGUAAUCAGGGAGUAGGACUGAUUAAAACCAGAAG